rnacentral:rRNA from 1 species
AUUCAGCGGCGGACGGGUGAGUAAUGCCUAGGAAUCUGCCCGAUAGUGGGGGACAACGUUUCGAAAGGAACGCUAAUACCGCAUACGUCCUACGGGAGAAAGCAGGGGACCUUCGGGCCUUGCGCUAUCGGAUGAGCCUAGGUCGGAUUAGCUAGUUGGUGGGGUAAAGGCUCACCAAGGCGACGAUCCGUAACUGGUCUGAGAGGAUGAUCAGUCACACUGGAACUGAGACACGGUCCAGACUCCUACGGGAGGCAGCAGUGGGGAAUAUUGGACAAUGGGCGAAAGCCUGAUCCAGCCAUGCCGCGUGUGUGAAGAAGGUCUUCGGAUUGUAAAGCACUUUAAGCUGGGAGGAAGGGCAGUAAGCUAAUACCUUGCUGUUUUGACGUUACCAGCAGAAUAAGCACCGGCUAACUUCGUGCCAGCAGCCGCGGUAAUACGAAGGGUGCAAGCGUUAAUCGGAAUUACUGGGCGUAAAGCGCGCGUAGGUGGUUCAGCAAGUUGGAUGUGAAAGCCCCGGGCUCAACCUGGGAACUGCAUCCAAAACUACUGAGCUAGAGUACGGUAGAGGGUGGUGGAAUUUCCUGUGUAGCGGUGAAAUGCGUAGAUAUAGGAAGGAACACCAGUGGCGAAGGCGACCACCUGGACUGAUACUGACACUGAGGUGCGAAAGCGUGGGGAGCAAACAGGAUUAGAUACCCUGGUAGUCCACGCCGUAAACGAUGUCAACUAGCUGUUGGGUUCCUUGAGAACUUAGUAGCGAAGCUAACGCGAUAAGUUGACCGCCUGGGGAGUACGGCCGCAAAGGUUAAAAACUCAAAUGAAUUGACGGGGG